CAGUCGCCGCGGUAAUACGAAGGGGGCUAGCGUUGCUCGGAAUGACUGGGCGUAAAGGGCGCGUAGGCGGCUUGUACAGUCAGAUGUGAAAUUCCUGGGCUCAACCUGGGGACUGCAUUUGAUACGUACGGGCUUGAGUGGAGAAGAGGGUUGUGGAAUUUCCAGUGUAGAGGUGAAAUUCGUAGAUAUUGGAAAGAACACCGGUGGCGAAGGCGGCAACCUGGUCUUUAACUGACGCUGAGGCGCGAAAGCGUGGGGAGCAAACAGGAUUAGAUACCCGCGUAGUCCCUGUCUCUUAUAC
rnacentral:rRNA from 1 species